UUUCAAGGAGAUUUUUUAAUUAAACUUUUUAUUUUGAGAUAAUUAUACAUACACAUACAGCUGCAACAAAUAACAGAGAGAUCCUGUGUACCCUUUGCCAGUUUCCCCUAACAGUAAUCUCUUGCAAACUGUAGUACAAUAUCACAACCAGGAUUUUGAUAUUAAUACAAUCAAAAUAUAUAACAUUAAUAUCACCACAUGGAUACCUCAUGUUUCCCUUCUAAAGCUAUAUACACCUUCCUCCUGCCUCCACCACCUCCUUAACCCAUGGAAAUCACGAAUCUGUUCUCCAUCUUGAUCAUUUUAUCAUCUAAAGAAUGUUAUAUAAAUAGAAUCAAUACAGUUGGUAAUCUUUUGGGAUUGGCUUUCUCACCCAGCAGAAUUCUCUGGAGAUUCAUCCAGGUUGCUGUGUGUAUCAAUAGUUCAUUUCUUUUAACAGGUGAGUAGUGUCUCAAGGUUUGGAUGUACCAGUUUGUUUAACCAUUUACCUAUUGAUGGACAUGGUAUAAUAGGCUGACUGAUGGCCCCCAAAGAUAUCAACUCCUAAUCUCUGGAACCUGUGAGUGUUACCUUAUAUGGCAAAAGAGACUGCAGAUGUGUUUAAUUAAGUAUCUAGAGCUGGAGAGGGUAACCUGGAUUACUGGGUAGGCCCUAAAUGCAAGCACAAGCAUCCUUAUAAAAGAGAGGCAGGGGGAAAUUUGACACACACAAAAGAGGUGGCAGCAAGUGUCCAUGGAGGCAAAGAUUGGAGUGAUAUGUCAACAAGCCAAGGGAUGCUGGCAGCCACCAGAAGCUGGAAGAGGAAAGGAGCAAAUUCUCCCCUAGAGCCUCCACAUGGAGUACAGCCCUGCUGACACCUUGUUCUCUGACAAAUGAAACUAAUUUUGGACUUCCGGAAUCCAGAACUCAGAAUAAAUUUCUGUUCUUUCAUGCCUCUGAGUCUGUGAUAAUUUGUUAUAACAGCCACAGGAAACUAAUACAAAUAUUCAGGGUACUUAGUUGUACGUAACAGGAAGAACAGGGAAAAGAUGUCAACUCCAGCUUUCCAGAAGUGGAAGUGUCCAGAAAGGAAUUUAAUACAGGUAAUUAGGUGUAAACAAAACUACUGCAAGGGCUGAACAGUUAAUGUCAGGUCACAUUACUGCUAGCUUUCAGUGAAUUGGAAAGUUGCUCCUCUCACAUUCAUGUGGGCUUUAUCCCUACAUUAAACUCUUUAUUCCUCUUACAUUUUUGUAGUACCUCCAUUUUCCCAACCGAACUCUCACAGAUACACUGCUCCGCUCCAAACUGGCAGCCAGCGUAGGAGCUACCUUGUAAGUGGAUUAGAGUAACAGAUCAUACCUGGUUAUUUUGCCUCCAAAAAUUCAGAGGCUCACCAAGCACUGUGCAGUUCUAUUUAUAGGGUUUGGUGCCACAUAAUGCAACCUGUCGCUCAUUAUAAGGGGAUACUCCUUUAUUCUCAAGCCACUGGAACCCUAAAACUUCACCAAUGUGGCAAGCCUCUGAACUUUCACAGUAUUUAUCUUUUAUCCUCUGCCAUGCAUGUAUUUCACCACCAAAGUCACCAGAAAACAGAAUGCCAUUAGUGUAACAGAUCAAGGCCCCUCUUGACUACAUUGUUAUAAAGAGCCUGAGAGCUAUAAAAUAGUGACUGCUUUCUCUGCCAUAUGAAGAUAUACCGCUUCUGAUUUUCUUUUCUGAUAAGAAUUAAAAAGAAAACACUUGCUAAAGGAAUGAUUUCAUUUGAGGUCCCAUGGAUUGUGUUGACUUAUUCUAGUAGUAACAGCCCAAACUGACAUCACAAUUUAAAUUGCAAUAAUCUACAAUCAUUUUCCAAGUCUAAUUUUUUUGCCUUAACCAAACAGGCAAGUUUAAUGGGAAUGUGGCAGAAACCACGACCUCUGUAUCUGCAGUUCCUUCAGGGAUGCAGUAUUACUUUUGGUUUACUGCCUUAACUGGAGGCAGGGAUGAGCAGUUAGUACUAGUGGGUUCUACUUGGUCCUUCCUACCACAAUCUUCACCUCACACAAGGCAAGGAACCAAUGUGGGGCAUCUACAGGUUAGUAUGUUUGUAACUGGGGAAAUAACCACAUUAUGUCACGGAUUUGGGCCAAGACUCCAUCUAUCCCUGAUGUUUUCAGCUUCCAUUCUGACAAGUAAAAUUAUGGCAGUUUGGUCUUCAUUUACUAGCAUCAGUUCAAAAGCAGUAUCUAACAGGCCCCUGAAGUUUUCAGUAUUUCUCUUUUCCCAGUGAAUAAUCACCAUGGUAACUGGGCACAGGUAUCCCAGGAAAAGAUCAGAAGAUUUAUCUUAUAUACUUGUGGCAACAUUGUUCAUUUUUUGUCAAAGGUUGCUACCUCCUCAAUUAAGAGACCCUAAGUCUAUAAAAUGGCUGAAAAAAAGCAGUGAAUCAUCACAGUGUUUUCAGUCAGGUAAUCUGCUUAGCAGACCUAGAAUUUUUCUGUUAAUGUACCAAACAGAUCCUAGCAGGCUGACCAUCCUGUGGUCAAUGAGCUAUCACCAGAAAUCCCUGUGGCACAAGACCCUCUGAUUACUACUCUGUAAGCACCUUCUCAUGGUCUCAACCAUUCUGUGAUCCUAUUAUUCCCAUUAAAAACAAGUAACUCAAAUCCACUGCAGCCUCUCCCAGUUAUCUCUCACCUAGAGAUAACACCAUGAGGCCUUUCAAGGACGCUGACACUCAUUCACUAAUGCAUUAA